rnacentral:misc_RNA from 1 species
GCCUGUCACAUGAUCGACUAGUUUAUUUCACUACCUGUCUUGUUGGACAUCAAGUGGAAGUACAAGUGAUGGACGGAUCAGUGUUUUCAGGGAUACUUCAUGCGACAAACGCUGAAAAAGAUUUUGGUAUCAUUCUGAAAAUGGCGCAGUUGAUAAAAGAUAGCUCUGAGGGGAUGAAGAGUAGUUCUGAAACUUUUAGCAAGCCUCCAUUAAAGACUUUGAUAAUACCGGGUAAAGAGUUUGCUCAAGUUACAGCAAAGGGUGUGCCUACAACUCUAGACGGUUUCAGAACAGAAUUCAUGCUGGAACAGCAGCAGGAACUUUUGACUGAUUCAUGCAUUUCACAAUCUCGGCAUAUUGAGGUAGAGCGGCAAUUGGAACGCUGGGUACCUGAUGAUGAUGCUCCUGAAUGUCCUGAUCUGGACAAUAUAUUUGAUGACCAUUGGAAUAGGGGCUGGGAUCAGUUUCAAGCCAAUGAAACACUGUUUGGAGUAAAAAGCACAUUUGAUGAGGACCUUUAUACGACAAAGCUUGAGAGAGGUCCUCAGAUGAGUGAGUUGGAAAAAGAAGCUCUAAGAAUAGCUAGAGAAAUUGAAGGUGAGGAUACACGUGAUCUUCAUCUAGCAGAG